GAAGCCCCGGCACCCUUUAGGGUGCUUCUUCAGAUUUGCAAUCUGCUAUGCACUGCACUUCAAGGC
rnacentral:tRNA from 1 species